UGCGGGGGGAGCAAGCGUUGUUCGGAUUUACUGGGCGUAAAGGGCGCGUAGGCGGCCUCUGCAAGUCGACUGUGAAAUCUCCGGGCUUAACCCGGAAAGGUCAGCCGAUACUGCAGGGCUAGAGUGCAGAAGGGGCAACUGGAAUUCUCGGUGUAGCGGUGAAAUGCGUAGAUAUCGAGAGGAACACCUGCGGCGAAGGCGGGUUGCUGGGCUGACACUGACGCUGAGGCGCGAAAGCUAGGGGAGCGAACGGG
rnacentral:rRNA from 1 species